AUUGAACGCUGGCGGCAUGCCUUACACAUGCAAGUCGAACGGCAGCACGGACUUCGGUCUGGUGGCGAGUGGCGAACGGGUGAGUAAUAUAUCGGAACGUACCUUUCAGUGGGGGAUAACUAUCCGAAAGGAUAGCUAAUACCGCAUAUUCUGUGAGCAGGAAAGCAGGGGAUCUUCGGACCUUGCGCUGAUUGAGCGGCCGAUAUCAGAUUAGCUAGUUGGUGGGGUAGAGGGCUACCAAGGCGACGAUCUGUAGCGGGUCUGAGAGGAUGAGCCGCCACACUGGAACUGGGACACGGUCCAGACUCCUACGGGAGGCAGCAGUGGGGAAUUUUGGACAAUGGGGGCAACCCUGAUCCAGCCAUGCCGCGUGAGUGAAGAAGGCCUUCGGGUUGUAAAGCUCUUUCGUCCGGGAAGAAAUCGCAUUGGCUAAUACCUGAUGUGGAUGACGGUACCGGAAUAAGAAGCACCGGCUAACUACGUGCCAGCCGCCGCGGUAAAAC
rnacentral:rRNA from 1 species